rnacentral:misc_RNA from 1 species
GGGGGUUUGGGGGCCGCGCGUUGAGGGUUGUGGGGGUGGGGGGAGAGAGCGACAGUAGGCCAAUGUGUGUGAAAGUCUUACCCCAUGAUUCCCAUAUUACUAUCAACCACCCAUGCAAGUCAUCAUUAUUGCCCAUUGAUGCACUUACUAUUUCUUAUCACUCCCACAUAAAUGGAACGCUCAACUCAAUUAAAGCCUUAAUUUCAAGCUACUUGGAAUCUUUUUCCUUAAUUCUACUCUGUUUAGGGUUACAUCUUCACAAAGAUCUAGAUCUGCUAUCCUUUUUCGCUACUUCGUACCAACUUCCUCCAAAAUCAUUAUAGCUCUACCCUUCGCUUUUUCCCCCUAAAAUUUCAAUAGUUCUGUGCCAGUGCAUUCCUUUGUCUUCAGUGCACAUGUUCAUACAAUCUCAAUCUCUCCUCUCAACUUUUCUCAAUGGGUGUUGUGAAAGCAAGUAAAUAAGAUCAACUACACAAGAAGUUUUUCACUAGGUAGCUACUGUAAAAGUCAUAGUCUUUGUUAAAAACCUCAUUAACUUGCUUUUCAAGUUUCAACCUUUCUAGGCCUUCAAUGUGAAUCAAAUAACUUAUCCACACUUGUGCUCUAGUAUUUAUGAGUGCAACUUAAUAUCCUCAAUUAGAGUCAGACGCAUAUGCUUAUAUAUGCAAUUUGCUUUUGUUUUAUCCAUCUUGUGCUUACCAUAUUUUUCCUCAUUUGAGCCACCUCCUGUUUUAUUAUUAGUCCUUAUUCUAUCCACUUGCCAAUCAUCCAUCUCAAUCCUCAUUUGUUCUACAAAUUUGUUAUUGUGUACAUAAAAAGUAUUUGGACCAUCAGAAAAAUCAAAAUUCAUAAUCAUUAUCUACAUUGAUUUGUUUCUUAAUCAUCCCUCAAUCUAUAACAUAAGCAUGACUAGUUUAACAGCCACUUUGGAAAUUUCUCAUUCAAUCUUCAAAUUGAAGUGGAUAACUGCAACAAGUGUUUUAUUCACAAUAUAUCAGUUAAUUUUAAGGGAAUAUUUUAUGGGACAUUGAUUUGAUCAUAAAUGGUGUAUCGCAGUAAGUGUUGUGUGAUUAAGAAACAUAUUCACAAAAUUAGCAAGUGAGAAUGCUAAGAUGGAUGUACAAAAACAGAAGAAUGUACUGGAUAAGAAAUAAUCAUAGGAAGGUAUUGGUGGCAUCUAUUGAGUAAAAGCCAAGAGAAGGGAGAUUGCUAUAGUUGAGACAUGUACAUCAUAGACCAACAAGUAUACUAGUAUAGAAAAUUAAGCAUAUCAAAGCUGUAGGAAAAUAAACCAUGGGAGAGGCUUAGGAUGACACUGGAAAUGAGGAAGGAUUUAGCAGCUUUAUAUCUUUCCAAAGAUGUAGCCAUAAACCAUGUCAAAUAAAGAAAAUGAAUCCACAUAGCCAAUCACUUAGUUGAGUUUAGUAAUUUGAUAUGCAGUCCAUAAUCAUGUUGUGCUUGCUAUAACCAUAAGCUCAACACCCUCAGGAACC